GCUGCGCGGGAGCAGGAGGGCGUAGAGGAGCUAUCCCAAGUUGAAGGUCAGGAAGGGCAAAGCAUCAAUAGGAAACUCCUCCCGAGUUUGGUACCUGGAACUGGAGAGCAGGACUGCACCUCGCUCAUCUCCAAAGCGUCGGGAGGUGCAACAUACCAGGGUUUCUUUGGCAGUGAUAAAAAUGUUCUGAAAACAGAAUCAGCAGCUUGAAAGACACCAUGUUCACACAUUCUGCCGGAAUGUCACAUUUGAUAUGGCCACUGGACACGCUUGACUUCUUCUUUAUUUAUGAUUUCUGGCGCUUUUCCUUUGAGGCCGCUCAGAAUAGCUUCUGAUCCUGCUCGCUCACAGAAACGGUGAAAUCAAAUCUUCCUGUGCUCGCCCCAUCGGAGGCCAGUUUGCUUAUGUAAGCUACUCCCGCCCUCACUGAGUAACUGGAUGGUGAGAGCAGAGCCCCGGACAGAUUUCAGAUGAGGCUCUCUUCACAUAAACAUCUCUGACUCGUGUAC